rnacentral:rRNA from 1 species
ACGGAAGGCAGCAGCUAAGAAUAUUCCGCAAUGGACGAAAGUCUGACGGAGCGACGCCGCGUGGAUGAUGAAGGCCGAAAGGUUGUAAAAUCCUUUUGAACUGGAAGAAUAAGCAGUGCAGGUAAUGGUAUUGUGGUGACGGUACAGUUUGAAUAAGCAACGGCUAAUUACGUGCCAGCAGCCGCGGUAACACGUAAGUUGCGAGCGUUGUUCGGAAUUAUUGGGCGUAAAGGGCAUGUAGGCGGUUAUCUAAGCUUGGUGUGAAAGGCAGGGGCUCAACUCCUGGACUGCAUUGAGAACUGGAUGACUAGAGUUACUGAAGUGGAAUCAGAAUUCCAGGUGUAGGGGUGAAAUCUGUAGAUAUCUGGAAGAAUACCAAUGGCGAAGGCAGGUUUCAGGCAGAUAACUGACGCUGAGGUGCGAAGGUGCGGGGAGCAAACAGGAUUAGAUAC